GAUGAACGCUGGCGGCGUGCCUAAUACAUGCCAGUCGAGCGAACGGACGAGAAGCUUGCUUCUCUGAUGUUAGCGGCGGACGGGUGAGUAACACGUGGAUAACCUACCUAUAAGACUGGGAUAACUUCGGGAAACCGGAGCUAAUACCGGAUAAUAUAUUGAACCGCAUGGUUCAAUAGUGAAAGACGGUUUUGCUGUCACUUAUAGAUGGAUCCGCGCCGCAUUAGCUAGUUGGUAAGGUAACGGCUUACCAAGGCAACGAUGCGUAGCCGACCUGAGAGGGUGAUCGGCCACACUGGAACUGAGACACGGUCCAGACUCCUACGGGAGGCAGCAGUAGGGAAUCUUCCGCAAUGGGCGAAAGCCUGACGGAGCAACGCCGCGUGAGUGAUGAGGGUCUUCGGAUCGUAAAACUCUGUUAUUAGGGAAGAACAAAUGUGUAAGUAACUAUGCACGUCUUGACGGUACCUAAUCAGAAAGCCACGGCUAACUACGUG
rnacentral:rRNA from 1 species